rnacentral:misc_RNA from 1 species
GCAAACUUGGUCAUUUAGAGGAAGUAAAAGUCGUAACAAGGUUUCCGUAGGUAUGUGAUCGAAACCCCCCUUCCCCAGCGAUCGACUCGUUGCUAACUCUGAUUCCAGGUGAACCUGCGGAAGGAUCAUUACUAGUUUCGGGUACUCCGUGCCCAAACUUCAACCCUAUGAUUUACCCACCUGUUUCUUUGCCGGGUCACACCGGCAAAAGAUUUCUCCAAACUCAUGGCAGAAACCUGACUCGGAAGAAUCUUGAUUAAAAUCAAACGCAAAACUUUCAACAACGGAUCUCUUGGUUCUGGCAUCGAUGAAGAACGCAGC